AGUGAACGCUGGCGGCGUGCCUAAUACAUGCAAGUCGAACGGAAUUUAAAAGAGCUUGCUCUUUUAAAUUUAGUGGCGCACGGGUGAGUAAUAUAUAGCUAAUCUGCCCCUUGCUGGAGGACAACAGUUAGAAAUGACUGCUAAUACUCCAUACUCCUUUUUACCAUAAGAUAAAUCGGGAAAGAAUUUCGGCAAGGGAUGUGACUAUAUCGUAUCAGCUAGUCGGUGGGGUAACGGCCUACCGAGGCUAUGACGCGUAACUGGUCUGAGAGGAUGAUCAGUCACAUUGGAACUGAGACACGGUCCAAACUCCUACGGGAGGCAGCAGUAGGGAAUAUUGCGCAAUGGGGGAAACCCUGACGCAGCAACGCCGCGUGGAGGAUGACACUUUUCGGAGCGUAAACUCCUUUUGUUAGGGAAGAAUAAGGACGGUACCUAACGAAUAAGCACG
rnacentral:rRNA from 1 species